GGCGGUUUGUUAAGUCAGAUGUGAAAUCCCCGGGCUCAACCUGGGAACUGCAUCUGAUACUGGCAAGCUUGAGUCUCGUAGAGGGGGGUAGAAUUCCAGGUGUAGCGGUGAAAUGCGUAGAGAUCUGGAGGAAUACCGGUGGCGAAGGCGGCCCCCUGGACGAAGACUGACGCUCAGGUGCGAAAGCGUGGGGAGCAAACAGGAUUAGAUACCCUGGUAGUCCACGCCGUAAACGAUGUCGACUUGGAGGUUGUGCCCUUGAGGCGUGGCUUCCGGAGCUAACGCGUUAAGUCGACCGCCUGGGGAGUACGGCCGCAAGGUUAAAACUCAAAUGAAUUGACGGGGGCCCGCACAAGCGGUGGAGCAUGUGGUUUAAUUCGAUGCAACGCGAAGAACCUUACCUGGUCUUGACAUCCACGGAAGUUUUCAGAGAUGAGAAUGUGCCUUCGGGAAC
rnacentral:rRNA from 1 species